GAUGAACGCUGGCGGCGUGCCUAUACAUGCAAGUAGAACGCUGAAGGAGGAGCUUGCUCUUCCGGAUGAGUUGCGAACGGGUGAGUAACGCGUAGGUAACCUGCCUGGUAGCGGGGGAUAACUAUUGGAAACGAUAGCUAAUACCGCAUAAGAGUAGAUGUCGCAUGACAUUUGCUUAAAAGGUGCAAUUGCAUCACUACCAGAUGGACGUGCGUUGUAUUAGCUAGUUGGUGAGGUAACGGCUCACCAAGGCAACGAUACAUAGCCGACCUGAGAGGGUGAUCGGCCACACUGGGACUGAGACACGGCCCAGACUCCUACGGGAGGCAGCAGUAGGGAAUCUUCCACAAUGGACGCAAGUCUGAUGGAGCAACGCCGCGUGAGUGAAGAAGGUUUUCGGAUCGUAAAGCUCUGUUGUAAGAGAAGAACGAGUGUGAGAGUGGAAAGUUCACACUGUGACGGUAUCUUACCAGAAAGGGACGGCUAACUACGUGCCAGCAGCCGCGGUAAUACGUAGGUGGCAAGCGUUAUCCGGAUUUAUUGGGCGUAAAGAGAGUGCAGGCGGUUUUCUAAGUCUGAUGUGAAAGCCUUCGGCUUAACCGGAGAAGUGCAUCGGAAACUGGAUAACUUGAGUGCAGAAGAGGGUAGUGGAACUCCAUGUGUAGCGGUGGAAUGCGUAGAUAUAUGGAAGAACACCAGUGGCGAAGGCGGCUACCUGGUCUGCAACUGACGCUGAGACUCGAAAGUGUGGGUAGCAAACAGG
rnacentral:rRNA from 1 species